rnacentral:rRNA from 1 species
AGAGUUUGAUUAUGGCUCAGGACGAACGCUGGCGGCGUGCUUAACACAUGCAAGUCGAACGAUGAACCACUUCGGUGGGGAUUAGUGGCGAACGGGUGAGUAACACGUGGGCAAUCUGCCCUUCACUCUGGGACAAGCCCUGGAAACGGGGUCUAAUACCGGAUACGACCUGCCGAGGCAUCUCGGCGGGUGGAAAGCUCCGGCGGUGAAGGAUAGGCCCGCGGCCUAUCAGCUAGUUGGUGAGGUAACGGCUCACCAAGGCGACGACGGGUAGCCGGCCUGAGAGGGCGACCGGCCACACUGGGACUGAGACACGGCCCAGACUCCUACGGGAGGCAGCAGUGGGGAAUAUUGCACAAUGGGCGAAAGCCUGAUGCAGCGACGCCGCGUGAGGGAUGAAGGCCUUCGGGUUGUAAACCUCUUUCAGCAGGGAAGAAGCGAAAGUGACGGUACCUGCAGAAGAAGCGCCGGCUAACUACGUGCCACAGCCGCGGUAAUACGUAGGGSCAAGCGUUGUCCGGAAUUUAUGGGC